rnacentral:lncRNA from 1 species
UCUUCUUUUAAAACAACAAACAGAGCAAAUUAAAUCCUUUCCAAUUUCUUAGAAGUUGUUUAAGAGAAGAAAAGGAAUCACAAUUCAAAAGGUAUACCAUAAAUUUGAGUUCUGAAAAGAAAAAUAGCCAUUGACAGCUUCUUUUUCUUCUUUUUUUCUGAUUAAAGGAAAAGGAAAACUCAAAUUCUACACAGUAACAUAACCAAGAGAGAACAAGAUCCCGAAUUUACAAAAGGGUGGAUUCGGUGUUCCCAUCCCCUCUCUCUGUACUAAAAAAGAGAAGUUAAAAAAAAAAAAAAAAGGAAGGCCAAAGGAAAAGGAGCUUUGCUACUGUCGCUGUGCUCUCACAACCCUUUGUAACACACCAAAGAAAAAAAAAAAAGUUCUCUUUUUUUUUUUUUCUUUUUGCAAAAUAUAGAAAAGGGAAAUUAAUGGAAAUACAUCGACGGACCCAUAAGGACAACAAAAACAGACCUACUAGAGAAGAAAUGCAAUAGCUAAUUAGGGAUGGCUGGAGGACGCCUAAAUCUUAACAAACUUUGUCAAGCAUAACAGUAAGUCCAUUGCUCGGCAUCGCCAGCACCAGAAUCCACAGCACCAUUGUAAUCAGUCUCACUGCAGCAGGAAGACGCACUCGCCAAAUAAGGCAUAUUGCGAAAGGACAUGGCCAAGCUAUUAGCUAUGCCCUCACCACCAUCGUCAUCCUCCUGUCCAAACUCUUCAGCUCGGUGCUUGAGGGUCUCAAACAUGAGUUCGGGCUCGUGCUGCAUCACUCGGAGGACAUCCCCACAUGAUGGCCCAGGCACAGUGCGAGUCACCGCAAAGCUAUGCGGUCCAUCACUCUGCAUCACCCGAAUCACACUCGGGCCACCAAACAGGUUGUGAACACCACCGAGAGCCUCCUCAUAAGCCCCGCCCAGAAACAUCCCAAGAUAGUAUCGCCCACCUCCUCCACCUGACAAACUGCCAUUGCCUUCCAGCUCAUGCAACGGCAAACUCGACUCACCACCAAUAAACUUAUCAAUCUUACCAUCACUGUCACAGGUAAGAUCAGACAGCACGCCUCUCACGGUUGGUCUCUGAUCAAGACGAUGAAUGGGGACAAUUGGAAACAGCUGGUCGAUACCCCAGAAAUCAGGAAUUGACGUGAAAAUAGAGAGGUUCACAUGGUAGGUUCUAACAGAGUCCAACUCUCCAACAGCCUUGGCAACAAGAGCACAAAGUCCAUCUACAGCAGCUAGUUGUUCCAUUCCCAAACACCCAUCCUUGAAUUUCUCAACGCAUCGUUGUUUCAGUUGAUCUGCAUACACCAAGCAUGUUUUAUACUCACCCAUAUAAGCUGCAGCCGAAAGGUUCUGAUAAUCUACACGAGCCUCAUCGGUUAGCCCAUCGACAAGAUACUGAAGUUCAAGUGAGCUCAUGGAUGGGACCUCAUAGCUGCUAGCAGAGACAGCCUCAAAUAUCAAAACGGAAUGAUGAGAGACGAUUGCUCGGCCACUUUCACUGCAAAUUAUUGGGUGCUUCACGGACCGACGGUCGCAUACACAGCGGACUGCAUCAACAACCGCAGCAGCAUACUCUUCGAGUCCAUAAGCAACAGAUAACUCAGAGUCCGAAGACUUCGACCCGUCAUAGUCAAUACCCAGACCACCUCCAAUGUCAAUAACACGCAUGUUGGCACCGAGACGGACCAAUUCGCAAUAGAUCUGAGCAGCCUCGCCAACGCCAUCAGCGAGCAAAGCAGUAGAAGGGAUCUGGGAUCCAAUGUGAAAAUGUAGCAAUUGAAGGCAAUCAAGCAUAUCAGCCUGUUCAAGCUUCCGAACCACCCGAAGGAUCUGGGUAGUCGUAAGACCAAACUUUCCUUUCUCGCCAGAGGUAGACCCAAAAUGUCCAGAAUGUUUGGUUCUCAGCUUCGCGCGCAUACCAACCACAGGACGAACAAACAGCCUCUUGCUCAAAUCAAUAACCAAAUCAAUUUCUUCCUCUUGUUCAAUAACAAUCACCGUGUUCAAAGCAAGCUUCCUGGCAAUAAGCGCCAAAGAAAUGUACUCCGCAUCCUUGAAACCAUUACACACCAAAAAGGCAUCUGAAUUCCCUUUACACAAACAGCUCAUUGCCAGAAGAAGCUCUGGUUUCGACCCAGCUUCAAGCCCAAAACGGAAAGAAGAUCCGAAUUUCACAAUAUCUUCAACAACAAACCUAUCCUGGUUACAUUUAACGGGAUAAACACCCUGGUAAUGAGAACCAUAUCCUUGAGAUUGAAUAGCAUAAUCAAAUGCAGACUGAAGAGACUCAAGACGAUUCUUAAGCACAUCGGGAAAUCUCACAAUAAGAGGAAGCUGCAAGCCAAGACCACCAGAACAAAUCGGAUCUGAAGCCUUCUUCACAAUUUUAAGCAAAUCAAUCUCCUGAUGGGGUAAAGUAGCUGUCCCAUAAGGACGAACAGCCAUAUUCCCAGAACCAUUAACAGAGAAAUAAGGAGCACCCCACCCAUCAAUCUUGUAAAGAGAGGACGAAAGAGGAGGAGACCAUGACAUGUUUUCAGAGGUGGGAGGAGAGUCAGGAGAGGAAAAGAUGGUAGUCUCCGGAGGUCCGCCGGAAAAUAAAACCGACGACGGAAGAGAGCUAUCCCCAGCAAAAACGUAGCCAGGAGGAGGAGCUACAGCAGCGUCUACGCAAUAAGCUAGGGCCGGCAUCUCUCCGACGACGGAUCAAGAAAUGAAUAAAAAGAAGAAAAUGGAAAAAUUAAAGAAAGAAGAGAGUCGUAGUUAGAGAAGUUGUUAAGAAAAAGUAAUGGAAGUUUCAGAGUUUUGUGCAAGUGGGGGCUUUAAAACCCGCCGAGGCCGAGGCCCCGGCUACCCCCCCAAAAGAAGCAGAAAGAGUAGCUAUUUCCACCGCCAAAUUUACCACGAUCACCUAUACACUUGCAAUAUCCCACCGCGAUCCGGUCAGAAGAAGAAUUUCACAAGAACGAAGAAACAAAAAAUGAAAUUAAAACAACACACCAAUCAAAGCCUUAAACACCGAAACUGUUCUUCACCAUGCAGAUCUGGAAACGAAUUCAAAGAACGGAAUUAAGAAUUUCGGUCCAAAAACAAAAAAAAAAAAGAAAAGAAAACAAAGAGGAAUCGGGAAUGAAUGGAAAGGAGAAUUAUCCGGGCAAAAGAGGCGGAGAAAAAGAAGAAGGAAGAAACGGAAACCUAACGGAGAAAACGCGGAGAGAAAUGUAGAGCCGUCGGAGACGACGGAAUGCGUUUAAACGAGGUUAGAAUGAGCGAGAUUUGCAUGCAUUACCAAGCGUCCUUUUAUAGGAGAAUAUGAAUCGGGUUCGGUUCGGAUCGUAAUAGCAGCCACCCAUUAACCCGGUAGUUUAUGACCCGAUAAUAUUUCUGGCGGUUUUUAUUAAUUUAAUUUUUAUAAAAAGAAAAAAAAAAAAGAGUGAGAUUCUAUUUUUCAAUUUUCUUUCUUCAAAAUAAAUGGACUAAUCAGCGUCGGGUUGCCGCGUGGCCUACUUUCAUGCGGGACCCCUCCAUUAGCAUAUACAUCUCCCGAGGCUUCUCCCCUUCUUGUUAUCCUUCCUUACGUGGCUUUUUAAUAUUAUUACUUUAAUUAUCAAAAUUAAUACUCCAAUUUCAUUGCUUCUUAAUUCUUUUCUUUUUGCAAACACAAACAAUUCCUUUUAUGAAAAUAAAAUUUUUAAACAUCACCCUACACUACUUAUUUACAAAUAUAGCAACAAACUAAUACCAACAAUCAAAUAAAAACACAGAAAACACUUAAAACCCAACAUAUUCAUAAUUUCAAACUAACCACUUCAAAAGUAACAUUAUUGACAUGCAUUAUGCUACCUACAAGGUAACCCUAUUGACAUGCAUUAUGCUCAAAGGUUUUAAAAUUUUGAGUUGUCCACAACUUUCCUUUCCAUUAAAUUUAUGAACCUAAAUAUAUUCUUCUAACCACAAACUAAAUUUCUUUCUUGUAAAGUCAAAGUUAAAAAUUAAAAUAUUUUAAAUUUGAAAUGUCAAAAAGUGGAGGGAUAUUUUUAUACUUUAUAAAAAAAAAUAAGAAUAGUAAGCAAUUAAUUUGAAAAAAUCGCGAUAUAAUGGAAAACGAUAAAAAAAAAAAAGAAAAAAGGAAGAAGGUAGGAGGAAGUUUCGUGGAGUGAGACUAAAUGACGUGACAAGAUCUUGACGGUCCACCUCAUCACCAUCAAUCUCAUUAUUAUUAUUUAAUUUCUUGGAACCAUUCUAAAUUAAAUUACUUUCUUUUUGCCAAAUUUGAAUGAGAUCCAUUUUACCUUCUUAAGUUUGAAUUUUUAUUGAUUACUCAACCCUUUUAAGUGCACAACCCUUUUUGUACCAAUAAACCUAAACACUACUUGUUUAAGAAUUUGCAUAGUCCUCAAAUUUGAUUUAACUUUUAAGUAAGUAUGAUGAAUUGAAAUAUUUUAAUUCUCGGACGAAAUAUUUGGACUUCUCGUUUUUUUUACUCAACAUGUCUAUAUUAGUUGAGAUAGGGUUAUGUUGUCGGAAAAAUGUUACCAAUAGCAAAGGGAGCAAAACUAAAUGGUAACUAAGGUUCAGAUUAUUAUACCUCGCUUGUUUUUGCACUAUUCAAAGAAAAAAAUGUGAAAUUCUCGUUAAAUUUCUUGGAACUUUAUCUCUAUAGUUUAUAAACAUGAUUUGUUUCUAAUUCUUUUAUCUAUGCUAAAAUAAAAGAUUCUAUUAAAUCUCAAUUACAUUUUUACUAUAGAUUUCAAAGUAAAACGUAAAUAAAUAAAAAAAGUGACAUGAUAAGAAUAUUAAAAGACUUAAAAAAAUGCAUCGAAUUCUUUGUAAAGUCAAAAUGACGUGUUGAUUCCUAUACAAACAUUUGAAAGUUGAACAUGAAUGUCAUUUGGAGUCUUGUCAAACAAACAAAUGGUUAGGGUGGGUGCUUUGGGACUAUUUGGGUUGUGUUCUAUCUUGCCAAUUUUUAAUUUUGCAUUCGGGUGACGUCAAGAUUCGUGAUGUAAGAGAUAUUUCUGAUGAUCUUUUGUAAUACAACAUUCCUAAAUGCUCAAUAUGCUGUCGAAUUUGGAUGUCUGGAGGUCAUUGACCUAUCGUGAGAUGUAUUUGUUUGGAAUCUAUUUUUUUCAUCGAUAAGAAUGUUUUAAUCUUAUAAAAGUUAUUUGAAAGAUUGACUUGUGAUGCUUUGUUCAUAUUUUACCUUUAAAAGUUAUUAAUUGUCAAAUUAUACGUAUAAAUCCGUGCAAAGUCCCAAAACAAAUAUGAUCAAUAUGGGUAUGACUUUAAUCAUAUUUAAUAAAAUGCCAAAAAUAUAUGUUUCUAUUUUUAGCUUUUAAAAAGAAAAGUAUCAAAUUAAAAAAGGUUAUUCUUGGAACAUGGUUGUAAAAAUUCAAAAACUAAAAAUAUACCUUAUGAAAAUUGAGUAAUCUAUUCUAUAAUUGUCAAUAGCACCUAACAUGAAUAGAACCAAUUGAGCUUUGUAAUUAAUUUUAUUUUUAAAAAACAUACCUUAUAACUUUCGUUUUUAUUAUUGUACCCAAUACCCAUAUAUGUUUAUUUGGGUUUUGGUUAUUUCGAGUUAUAGAUCGAAUGAACUUUUUAUGUUCUUUGCAGUAGGUUCAAUUUAAAGUUGGAAACAAAAUACAACACAUGAGUUUUUGAUAUUUUAAAGAUUUGAAAUUUUUAUAUCAAUGGAAAAUUUUCCUGAAGAUGAUAGAGUCUCAUCACCAUUCUUUUACAAUUUUCGAUUUAAUUAGUGUUACAUAUCAAGAACAUUCGGGUAAGUUUGAUCACUUUGUUUGUGAAACGUUUUUUUAACAUGGAGUGAGAAACUAGUUCUCAUUAUCUCUUGAUUUUCGAUCAAAGGAUAAUCCAAAUUUAAUCCAUUCUCUCAUAUUGAUUAUUAGGAUUUUAAAAUUGAUAUGUUCUUAAGUUGGAAUCUUAAUUUUCAAAUCUUAUGAUUUUCAUAUCAAGAUUACUGAAGUUCGUGGAGUCGUGAAGGUUCGAAUUGUUUGAUUUCUUAAACACUCCUACGUGGACGGAUAUGUCAAUUUAUAAAAUUUAUGAAUUUGUUUUACCGAUUUUGUAAAUUAAAAUAGUACUAAUAAUAUUUUCAUGCUUUGAAGAAGAAUUAUUAUCAAAAUAGCAAAAUAAUCAAACUAUUUUUAAAAAAUAGAUAUAAUCAUGAAUUGAAUUUAGUAUUAUGUAAUAUAUAAUUUAAUUAAUUGUUUAACUAAGAAUUGCACUCAACAAACUUCUUUUUUAUUUCCUUAAUGUGCAAAAAGAUGGUGGUGCACCAAAUAUUGAUAAAUUAACUUUUACAUUAAACACUAAUUUAAUAUAUGGUUUAUAAUUUAGUUACUAAAAAUAAUUAAAUACAAUGAUUUCUUUUUAUUUAAUAGUUAAAGAUGAUAUAAAAUAUUGAUUAUAAAUGUGUUAUUUACUCAUUCAUUCUUACAAAUAAAGGUUUUACUUGUUUACAUAAAUUUUAGCUAACAAUAUUUUAAAUAUGUUAAUUAGGUAACUACGACUAAUUAAAAUAUAGUAAAAAAUUUGUUCUAUUGGUUGUAUUAAUAUCAAACGAUUUCUUUAUAUUGUUUUCCAUUUAAUUCAAAGUAACUGAUUUCAUUUAAAUUAAAUUUAUAAUUAGUAUUAUUGAACUCAAAUUAAUAAAAAAUAAAUAGUUGGUUGUAAUAUAAAUGAAUAAUCAUGUACUUAUUUAUUUUUUAACAGAGGUAUAAUUAUAUCAAUUAAUGUAUUUAAUUGUACAUUUUUACAUUUCCCUUUAAUUUGUCAACUAUUAUUCAGUUAAAAUAAUUCUUUUAUAAUUAUUAACUAAUUAGUUAUUUUAUUAAUUAAUCUACUAAAAUUAUAUAAAGUUGUAAUGAUUUAGUUUUGUAAAUUACAUACAAACAUGAUUUAGUUUCCUUUCAAUCAUGAUAUCACUUCAUAUAAAAUCACACAUUGUUCCAAACAAUUUUUAAUCCAAACCAUUUUAAAAUGUGAUAUUUUGAUUACUAUAUUAAAUUGUGAUAUUUUGAUUUAAUUUUUUAUAUUUAAAAAUAGUCUUAAUAUUAAAAGAAAAUAACAUUUUAAAAAUAUUAAUAACUAAAUACAUCAUUUUAAAAUUCUAUAAAAAAAUAUAUACCUCUUGAAUUAGUCAAAAUGAUAAAUUUAGCUUAAAUGUAAUUAACAUUUUUUUUGUUUGCAAUGCUGUACUGAAAAAUCAGCUAAAUUAAAUUGAAGCUGGCAUGCACAUUUCUGUUUUUUUUUUUUUUUCUAACUAUAGAUAUCUAAAAAUAUUUAAUGAAGAUUAUAUUUAUAAAAAAUAAUUUUCAUAUAUAUAUAUAUACAAUUUAUAAAUGACAAGUAAUAUUUUAAAAAAUAAUUAUAUUUGAUUUGUUAUUCCAUGCAUGUGUGAAAAGAAAAUAAGACUUUAAGAGAUGUAAUCAUAAUAAUUAUAAAUUUAUUUGUUUGCUUCAAGAAAUGUGGCAAUGUCUCUUCCUUAUCACUAGCUACCAUCUUACAUUUGUUCUUUUUUUAAGAGACACCAUAUAAUAAAGAUUUUAAAAAAUGAAGUGAAAAAGAAAGAAAUCCCAUCACUUAAAUGAAAAGAGAAAAGAAAAAAGAAUCCAAAAAAUAAUGAAAAUUAUUUAGGAAAAAAAAAAAAAGCAAAGGAGAAAGUUAGAUGUUUACGUGGCGUCAUAAGAAAAAGCCACGUGUCACGUUGAGUCAGUCAUAAAAGUGGAAAAUUCAAAAAGGAAAAAUAUUAAGAAAAAGAAUAAUCUAAUCAUCAUUUACAUUUUAAACAAAAUAUAGUGUCAUUUUUUAGUAGAGAAUAAACCCAAUGGUUUGAGUAUCAUACCUGGACUUUGUUUCUUUAAUAAUUUUUAAAAACCAAUUAAAGAACGACCAUCAAAUUUUCUCUCAAAAUAGUCAUCUAUUCCGUCGUAAUUUAUGACUAGACAUUUGAUGGUUCGACCAACAUUUAGUAAGUCAUGUGCAUAACCAUGAUACCACUCUUUGGAGACAACAAUCUCCCUACCACCACGUCUUUUUACAACGAUAUGUUUGAUAUUAUUAAGCAAAACUAUGGUGAUUUUUUGUCUUUUGUUUCACCUAAAAAGACCAUAUUAAGAAAUAGUUAUCAACUUCUUCCUACUGAUCAACCUAUAAUCUUGUUCUUGCUCCAACAGUAAUCAUAAUUUAGCGGGGUGAUUGAGUAGAUAUUUUAGAACAUACACCAAAAACUGAUAUUUGAGUGCGGUAAAGAUGAUUUGUAUUAUACAUGUCAUUGUAGUCUUGUUAAAGACAAUAAUUUAUAUUUAUUUAAAGGAAUGGAAAUAAUAUUUGGAAGAAAAGAGACAAAUCUUAUCUGCAGAGUCUCAAGCAAAGGACGACGGCCAAACGGUUGGCAACUUUGAAUGGUCUCGUUCUCAAUUACUCCCACUACAUUACGUUUUGUUUUCCUGUCUUCUUUUCACUUAUUCAUUUUCUUUUAAAUUAAUUAUAGGUGCAAAUCACACAAUAUCUGAAGGGUUGGAAAUACUGUUUUAGUAACUUCUAAUAUUAGUUUAUUUAUAUCAUAAAUAUUUUUAGAUUGAUGGUAACUAAAGUUGGAAUGAUAAUCAUAUAUUUAAUUUAUUUAAUGGUGAAGAGAUAAUAAAAGAAAAGAAGAGGCAGUUGAAUAAAAAAAAAAAAGGCCUAGGAAUCAACGGAAAGCAUCUCUCAUGAUUUGGGGUUGCUUUGCUUCCAUACAAAUUAAUUUAAAAUAUAAUUUUACAAAAAGAAAAAAAAAACCGCUUCCCAAAAAAUCAUAAAUUAAUUAAUUAAUUUGUUUGAAAGAAAAACGCAAAGUGAUAUUGCCAAGUGGGACCAUUAAGUGGUCAGGGCCCCACAUGUUGACGGCUCGUCAAACUACUUUUUAACGGGCGGAGAGUAAUGAGUCAAUGACGUGUCUUUCUCUUUUUGUUUUCCCCCGUCAUUUGACGUCCGUUCCCGUCAUCUUCCGUUACUACGGCUUUUCAACCCUUCACAUGUGGGCCCGCCAUGCAAUUCUUUUUUCUUUUUAUUUCUUUUUUAAAAAUAAAAAGGGACUUUUUCAUUUAAUAAGUGAAGAAAAAGUGAAUCUUUUUUUUUUCUUUAAAUAAAUAAUAAUAAAAAAAAUAUAUUUUUCCCAAACUUUUUUCAUCCUUCUGAUAAAGACAAUUCUAUCUUUUUUUUCUUCUUCUUUCUUUACCAAACAAGAUGAAAAGUUGAAGAAGGCACUUAAUUUUACUCUUUUUUAUACAAAUAAAAAAAAAACAAUUAUAGUACUAUUAAGAAUAAUUGUCAAGUAUGGUAAUUUCUUUUUGAAUAUUUACACUUUGUGAGAUGAUGUAAAUAUCUUGUUUUUUUAAAAAAAAUUAAUAAUAAUGAGAAAAUGAGAAAACCCUAAAAUAUAUUAUGGUAAAAGGUAAAAAAAAAGAAUGGGAGAAAUUGUUGGAGGUGAGGGGAAAGCCAAACGCCCAUGUGCUUUGAAUUUAACAUUUGAGGGCUCCCCCCACCCACUCCCUUUCUCUUCCUCGAGUGUAGUUUCUAUUUCAUGUAUAUUUAAUUUUUAAGGGUAAAAUCUUUUACGUUUUUCUAUUAAAAUUCUUUUAUAUAUUUAAGUGAUAGAUAGGUUAGAUGUUUGAAUCUCUCGUUUUUACACGUUAAAAUCGACUUUGUCAAACUCAUAUUCAUUUGGUAUGUGAUAAUAUGAAAUGUCAUUUGUGAAUUUGUGUAUAUAUUAACUUGGUAAAGGUAUAUAUAUAUAAUAUUAGCGAAGAGACUAAAUGUCCAAACAUCCUAAUCCUCAUGUGUUAUAAAACUAAAAAAGAAAGGAAAAAAAGAAACAAUUAAGUGGUGUUCAAAUUGGAAUUGUUAUUGAUAUGAUUUUUUAAAUAUAGUAGUUAAAUUGUCAAGAAAGAAAUAUAUUUUCUUUACAAGAAUAAAUAAAUAAGAUAACAACGAUGUCAAGUUUCCACAAAGGUAUUAUCAUUCAACUCAAAAAAUCUUAUUACAUUUAAAAUGAGGAUGAAUAUAGAGAUAGCAAUCUAAACUCUCGUUGUAUUGUCUCCAUAUUUAUUUAGAAGACUUUCUACUUAUUUACUUUGAUGAUUUGAUUCAAAUAAUGAAAAGUUCAAAUUAAAUUACUUUUUAGUCUUCGAGUUUUUAGGGUUAUAAGAAAAGACUCGUUUGUUUUUUGAGUUUCCAAAACGUACAUUUUUAGUUCAAUUUUAAAAAAUAGAUUUAAAAGGUUCUAAAAGUACAUAUAUUUUUUUUUAUUUUCUAAAAAUUGUUAUAUGAUAUUUAAGAUUAAAAAAAUAAUUUUAAAAAGAAUAGGAUGAAACUAUUUUUCAAGUUUCAAAUGUCACGUAACUAUUUAAAAUAAAAGUAUAAAAUUAUUUAAAAGACCUCUUAAACAUUAAAAAGAUGCGGAGUUGUAUUACUAUUUAGAAAAACUUUUAUAAAUACAUUCAUUAAUGUUAAAACUUAUUUAUUUAUAAAUUUUCUUUUAAGGAUUUGAAAUAUGUACCAUAUAGUAUCGUGUAGACAUGCAUUAUAUGAUGUACUACAAUAAUAAAUACAAAAUAAAAAAAUGUUUACAUGAAUGAAUCAAUUAAUUAUAAUAAUAAUAAUCAAAAUUUAAUGUUUAAUUAGUGGGUAAUUCCAACUACACAUUUGAAAUAAUAUAGUUUAUUAUUAUUUUACAAGACUUUAUGGAGACUGAAACGGGAGGUUGAGGUUUUAAUGAUUCUAAAAUUUGUUCUUUUAAUUUUGGACAGAGGAAAAGGUUUGAAAAUAGAAUAAUAGGUUAGGUUGAAAUAUAUAAAUAAUAUAUUAAUUAGGAAUAUAUUAUUGGUGUUAUUAUUUAAUGAGAUUGAAUUAAGGAAAGAAUGCAUUUAGGUAAAAUAGAAGUAAUAAAGUCCAAUGUAUAUAAGAAUUAAGUGAAAGAGUCAAAGAAACCUUCACCACUUAGAAUCUGAAUUAAAACACGUCUUUGUCUAACUAUUUGGAACUAUUAAUUUAUUUGGUCAAUAAACUUAGCCCCCACCACUACUCUCUUAUCUUCACCACCUUCACCACCUUCACCACCUUCACCUUCACUUCAUACAUAUAUAAUACAUACACAUAUUAAAUGUUUUAAAAUAUUAAUUGAUGAUAAAAAAUUAUUAUGAAUAAAACUAUUUAUAAAAUAUAACAAAUUUUUUCCAAAGGAAACUUGAGUAAAACCCAACUUUUAGAAAUUUGAAUGAAUGAUUAAAAAAUUCACUAAACUUUAUUUCUUCCUCUAAAAAUUUAUAUUAAUUAAUUGAAUUUAAAUUUAUCAUUAGUCAAUUUUAAUUCUCACUUUCAAAGAGGAUCUAAAUAAUAAAAAAAAUUGAAAUACAAAGGAUUGGAUUGAAACUUUUAAAAUAAUAAUAAUAGAGACAAAAAUUAAAAAGCAUAAACCAACACAUUAGACACUACCACGUGUAUUUAAACGAAAAAGAAAUUCAUGUGAUCAUUGUCAUAAGAAUAAAAAUUGUUAUUUCUUCAUGCAACUUUUGGAUGAAGAUUCUAAAUUAUAUUCUUCUUCCUUUUAUGUAUAGAUGUAUAAUUUUAAUUGAUUAUUGUACUUUCAAUUUUGUUAUAUUUUCAAUCUCCACCUACGUGAAGAUUUAGAUCUUAUUAUCAUCCGUGAAUAUAAGAUAAUGAACAGUGAGGAAGAAAAUAAAAAAGAAGAUUGUGUGGAUGAACUGAGUAUAGAGAAAGAAAAUAGCAUCUACAAGCUAUUGAACGUGUUUUGUUUGUAUCGAUUGAACAUGUGCUACACUUUGCACGAUGAUUGGAUAUCACGAUCAGAGAGAAUAGAGAAAAGAUUAACAAAAAAAAAAAAAGAGAGAAUAAAAAGAUUUAAUCUAGUAUUUUUUCCUUUUUCAAAUUUGUUCUUGCCCAAAAGCACAUAAACCACUUUGUAUCAUUUCUAGCAAUUUCCUCCUAAUUUCCUUGAGAUUGAAAGUCAAACUCUCACACUUGUUAAGGAAAAAAAAAACUAAAACAAAAUAGGAGUUAAAUGCACCUAAUAAUUCAUACAUACAUAUAUUAUAAUUUUACAAAAUUUUCAAUUUUAUUUCAUUGUAUUGAUUUUAUAUAUAAAAAAAGCAGCAUUUUAUUAACAUAUUUAAAACAUGUACAUAUCAAGGCCAUUAAAAAAACAAAUGGAUGUUGUUGUAUCAGAUUAUUUUUGGAUGGACAUAUCGAUCUCUACGUCCAAAAUAAAUAUGAAUGACAAGUUCACAUGUUCAAAUAUAUUAAUGAGUAAAUAAUUUAAUGAUACCCCGACAUUUUACUAAUAAAAUUUACUUUUUUAAAGUAUAAAUAAUAAGGACGGAAUUGAAAAAAAAAAUCUAAAAGUGUUAGUUGCACUUCGAUGGAGCUAUGCUCCAAAAGAGUAAAUAUGCAAAAUAUAACCCCGUUAGUAGUAUGGCUCGAUAUGCCAACACUUUGGAAAUGUCUCAUUGUCUUCAAAAUAAAACAUAAUUUGUUCUUCGUUUGUAGUUGAGCCAAAACUAAAUAGAAAAUCAACACUCUAAAGAAUACUUACUCGAAAAACAAAAUAUAGAACAUAAAAGAAUACAAGAUAGAAAGAGAGAGGGGAGAGAAAUUUGUUUGAAUAUGUUUUUGGUUUUGAUGUGUUGAAAUGUGAUGGAGGUGUGGUGACGAAACAUGGACACGUGUGGAGAUAUUGACAAAUUUACAUUGGCAUGUCUUCCCACUCUCUUUAAAAACUUAAAUACCCCUUUGAAAUCAGAACUUAUAAUUUAAAUUUCAAAUUAGGAGUAUUUAAGAAAACAUUUAGUUUGCAUUUUAAAGCAAAAUGGGAAUCCAAGUUUGAAUAAGAUAAUGAUAUGUUUUAUUUAAAAGAAAUUUUCUAUCAAAAGAAAUAAAAUAAAAAAAAUUGAGGGACCAUUUUGUAAUACAUUGAUUAAAAAGAAAGAAAGAAAGAAAGAAUGGUUUUUCGAUAAUGUUUGGGGGGACAAGGGUAAUGGAGUCCGAUGGAGUUUAGAAUUUGACAGGUUUGUCCUGAGGUAUUAAGCAAAGGAGGGAGGGGGAGGCAUGGGUAUUUUAGUCUUUUAGAAUAACCUAAAUCACGGGGAGGGUACGAUAGAAAGACAGUUCGUUGUGGCUCUUCAAUGACGUGGCAUCAGGGGAUAGGCCCGUGAGGAUCCAAUGUAAUCUCCAAUUAUACGUCACAGUGAACAAGUGGAUUCUGAUCUUUUUUUUUCUUUCUUUCUCUUUUUGUGUUUAAGCACUGGGUCCCACUCCCAUUUGUGGGCCCAGAUUCCUCUCAAAGAUUCUCUCCAUUUUUCUUCGGCCCCACACCCUUUGCUUAAUCCUCUAAUACUAUAUAACAUUUUCUUAAAUACCCAAUUAAUUCUUUCUUCUCUAUAAAUCAGAAAAUUACUUUUAUUUCUCUACUAAAUUACAAAAUGUCUUCUUUCUCCCUUACACUUUCCAUGCUUCCACUUCUCUCCACCGUUUCUCACCAAAAUUAUCUAUCAAACUAAAUAGUCUUUACACCAAAAACAUACUUUUCUAAUUCAAACUAAAUUAAUUUACAUCAUAAACACAAACUAUAAUAAUUUAUUCAUUAUUCUAAACAUGGUAUCUUCAAUUUUUAAUUUACAAAUUAUUUUUUUUUGGAGCUAAGGUGGUUACAUGCAUAUAAAAACGAAUAGGUGGUUUGAUUCUUUCCAUAUAUAUAUAUGUGACAUGCAUGUGUGGAGGAAAAACAAAAUAAAUAUUUACAUUUAUAUUCUUAAAAAAUAAUUAAUGAGAUUCAAAGUUGAGAGAAAAUAAAAUAGGAUUUAAUCGAACCACCUAUAUAAUUUUUAUAUAUUAUGCGUCAAAAACUACUAUUUGGAAAAUAAUUAAAUUACAAGAUUUCAAUGAUAAAAUAGGUUUUUUUUAAAAAAUCAUUUUUAUCUGUUUAUAACUAAGUUAACAUUAAUGAUUUAUUGUUCAUGAAUUGAUAUUAUAUUUACAACAUAUUAAGACAUUUACCUUCAAUUAAUUUACCCUCCUGUUCUUACCAUUAAUAUUAGAGAAAUGUCAUGUAAAUGUAUAUUUUAUUUAAUUAAAAUUAAUCGUUGAUUUUUCACAAGAAUUAUAGGUUCGUAUGCGAUAAAAUUCCAAAGUCUAAAUAAUAUUUAAUAGGUUUUAAAACUUUUUUGUCUCUGAUUUAUUAUUAUUAUUAAUUUAAUGCAUCUAUUGGAAUAUAGAAUUUAAUUUUGUAUUGAAUAUUAAACUUUUGAUUAUGUACCUAAAGAAAAAAGAAGGUUGAAUAAGCCAUAAAUAUAUUAAAUAAUUUGUGAGAAAGUUGAAGGUUUGAAUUCACAAUUUAACCUUUAGUCGUUUAUUCUAUAUGAUAUAAUUAAAUUAGGAUGAUAUAUACUUUUUCUUCCCUUGAAAAAAACACAAAAGAAAAGAAAAACUACAUUUGUCUUUUUUAGACUUUACAACACCAUGUGCCCUUAAGAUUGAUGCUUACAAAAAUCAAAAUAAUAUAUAGGAUAGUUUUUUAAAAUAAUAAAACUAUAAAAAAUUUACUGUAUAACCAAAGUUUACUUAGUCCAAUUUUGUGAUUUAUUUAAUUUUAGUUAUUGAAAUUUAAAAUGCUUAAGUAGACUUUGCCUAUUUUCAAUAGAAAUUAUUUUUGUUAAUUUGAAUAGUUGGAUGAAAACUAAGAUCAAAUUAACUAUGAGGAAUGAUAACUAAUUUUAGAAAUCAUAAAGUAAAUAUAUAGAUUAAAAUUAAAAGCAUAGCGAUUAAAAUAAAUUAAAGAAAAAAACUAACAACACUAUUUUAAAUUUAAAUAUAUUUAAAACAAAACACUUAAAAGAUAAUGAUCAAAUACUUGGUUGGUUUUGAAAAUAAAAAAUUUGACAAUAACCUUUUAUUUUAUUAUAUUUUCACAUAAUUUGACCAGCUUUUUGUUCAUCUUUAUUUAUUUUAGAUAAUACGAAACUUUCAUGCUUUACCGAUCAAAAGAAAUAAAAUUAAAGGAAAAUUAUUUUAAAUCAUAAAAUUGUAAAUAUAUUAAUAUUGAUAGAUAGAUUCUAAUUUUUUUUUUAUAAAUGUUUAUUUAUUUUAAUAUAUUUAAAAAUAAAUUUAAAAAAUUCAAAAGUUGGACACUAUAUUUUAAUACUCUAUUUUGAUUUUUGUCCUUGUAAUCAUUAAUGAAAUAAAGUAUUAGUCUUACAAAUAAUAACAACAAUAAUAAUAAAUGAUUUUGAGCCCUUAAGAAUUGAAAUAAUUUAAAGAAAAGAAAACAAACCAACAUUAAAAGUCAUAAGGAAGCUAACAAUCAUUUAAUAUUAUAUCAAAUUCACAUCAUAUACAAAAUGAAGAAAAAAACUUUUGAUUUUCUUUCUCCUCCCUCUAAUUUUUUUUAGAUCAAUAGUAGUUGAUACAAUAUGAAGCGGAAGAUUUGAUCACACAUUCCUAUAAAUCAAUAAUUAAUAUAUUAAAAACUUUACUGUUAAAAUUCAAGCGAAACUGCUCAUACAAACAAACCAUGCUAUUGAACUUAAAUUUUGUUUUGAUAUAUUUUUUUGAAAUUACUUUUGUUUUUCUUUUAAAAGUUAAUCCUACUUUAUUUUGAUAUUUAAUUAGUCACAUCCUAAAAAGGAUUGAUGAUGACAUUUUUUUUCUCUUUCAAAUAUUCUUUUUGAAAGAUGUUAGAUAGUCUACAACAUCAACACGUAGUAGAUAAGUUAAUCAAUAUAUGCAUAGUAUUUUCUUCAUUAAAACAUGAUAUGUAUGUUAUGUAUUAGAUCUAACUAGUAAAUUAUGAUCAUGUUAACACAAAAGAAUAAGUAAAUGAUUCCAACUAAGUAAAAAAAGAAAAAAAAAUCAUUGAUUGAUAUCAACUUUUAAACGAUGAAUCUUGUACAAGAUGAUUAACAUGUUGAAACUAGAGAGGUUCAUUUUUCUUCCAUCUCGUUUACCACACACACAUAUAUAUAUAUUUUAAUAUAGUAAAAAAAAUAUUGUUUAUCAUUAUUACAUAAACAUGAGUCUAAAUAUUUGAUUAUUACAUAUAUAAAAUAUUCUCAUAAAUUUAAAUUAUUCACGUAGAAUUAAUUAUAUAUAAAAGUUAUGGAGAAAUUUAUGUAUUUAAUUAACAAAUUUGAGCUUGUUAUUCCAUCUUUUAACGAUUCUCUCAAAAUUAAAUGCAAAACUUUACAAAGAUGGAGAAUAAUGGAAUGGGAAGCAUGAACGGGAAUGUUAUCUCCGACUUCGUACUAUUUGAACAUCUAAUUAAAAUGUAAAGAAAAUCAACACAAACUCAAUUGUUAGUCGGUAAAUAAGGUAUUACUAAUGGUAAGUAGUAAGAAUCGAAACAUUUAUUUAAACAUCAAACUUUAAUGUAUAUAAAGAUUCUAAAAUAUUUAUAAUAUUAAAUAUAUGUGUAGAUGUGACUAUGCAUGUGUUACACGACUCUAGUGGAAUGAAAAAGAUGAUUAAAAACAAAUCAUCCAUAAAAAAAAAAUUCUUUGAAACCUAAAAUUCAAUGAAACUGAACAAAGCAUCAACUACACAUUUUUUUCCCUCUUUACGUCUUUGACCAUUUGUGAAAUUCUUUAAAUUUUAGGUAAAGUAUAAAUAUUCACAUUAAAUUACUUUAAAUUUAACUAAAAUUGUAUUAACUCGAUAGGUCAAAAACUACAUGUAAAGUAGAAGAAAGGUUGUAAAUGAUAAUACUUUUGAAAUUGCUUAUAAAAUAGAGCAAAAUUUCAAAUUAAAUAUUUUGCUAUAUUAUUUAAAUAUUUUGAUUAUUUUACUAUAUUUAAAUAAUUUUGUUUUAAAAUAAUAAUUAAGAGAUUUUUAAAAAUAGAAGGAUUGGUAAACUAUUUAUGGUCGAGCAAAAUUUUAAUAAAGUAAAAAAUGAAUAACUAAAAUUUGAAUGUCACUUUCCAUUUUCUUCCAUUUAUGUAAAUUCUCCUAAUAAUUAAGUAUUUUGUGUUUUUUUUAAUAGAAGAAAUGGCAAAAUAUUUAUAAUUCAGUUUGUUAUUUUAAUAGAAAAAAUGGUAAAAUCAACGUCAAAAUGACACUAAUAUAAAUAAUUGACAUGUUUACUCAUUUGAAAUAAUAAAAUAUUUAUUUAAUAAUUUAAAUUUAUUUUUUGAUUUUUUUAAAAUAAAAUCAGAAACAUCCAUCAAAAUCAAGAUAUAUGUAAAAAACAAAAAGACUUUGAUAUACCUAUCAACAUCGAUAUUUUAAACCUUGAUUAAAACAUAAAAUUGUAAAAAAAUUCAUAAAACUCCAAAAUAAAAAUUUCUCCUUAUAUUUUACAAAUAACUUUAUGUUAAUUACAACAAUAAAUAUAGAGAUUGGUUGUGUUCGUAAACUAUUCGUUGUGUUAAUAGUAAAAAAAAAGUUAUGGUUUUAACUUAAAAUUUAGGUUAGUGAGAAAAUUGGUGUAAAGUUUGGAUAAAUGAGAGCAUUUUUUAAAACUUUUAAAACUCAAAGGUAUUUAUGAAUUUUUUUUAUCGGUUUCCAUCGAGAAGUAACGAUAAAGGUAUUUGCGAACAAUUUUAAUUCAAAGCUUAAGAAUAUUUUUGAAACAUUUGAAAGUUUAAAGUAUUUCUUACCCAAACUAUAACGUUAAGAAGUAUUUUUGUAAUUUAAUCCUUUAUUUGUGGUUAUGAAAUCGACAAAUAAAGAUAAAUAAAAGUACUAAAAGAAUCAACGUAGAAAUUUACAUGAUUUAUCAACCGUAUUAGUUACGUCACAUAAAUGUCUCUAUCCAAAGGUGAAAAACGUAGAUAACUGGUAGAGGAUAAAUUCGAAAAUAACUUUGGACUCGGAUGAAUUUGAAUUGGUGUCCAUGUACUUUAAUACUUUUUAAUCUAUAUCUAUACUCUUUGCUUCUUUUUGAUUUUUUAGUUCAAUUUCCACUGGCAAUUGUACUUUACCCAUAUUUCUUUCUUUAUUUGGGAAAGAAGCAGCCGCCGGCUGCGGCGGCUCUGGCGGCCUGAAGUUUUUGCUUUGGGGACAAGGUGUUUGAUUAUUAUAAACCCCAUCAACAAAAUUCAUGUGUUCAUAUCCACCAUACAUCUUUUUAAAAUCUACUUUUUCAUUUUAUAUUUCUAUAUUUCACUUAUAAAAUUUAUUAUCUAUUUAGAUUGCAUAAAAAAUUUGUAACAUAUUACACUAUAUAUGUAUAUAUGAUUUGACUUAGGGCCAUAUACUAAUUUAAGAACCAAAUCUAUAAAUUUAGAGAAAUUAAAUAUGAUUCUCUAUCUAAAAAAAUCAACAAUUCUAAAUUUUAUUAUUAUUUAAGUUUAUGGAUAUAUUUUCUUUAUUCAUCCAAAAUUUUGGUCUCCACAAAUUAAGUUCGGUUUAUGAUAAACAAAAUCAUCAUUAUAUACGUUUUGGAAUAUGAUUCUAUAGAUUCCAAAAUGAUUUUAAUUCACGCAAUAUAUAGCAUUAUAUUCUCAUUCAAUCUUAUUCUUAUUUUAAAAUUUUCGUCCUAUUCUCUUUUUCAAGAAUAUUUUUUAUUAUCGAAAAUUGAAUUUAAACUUUAGAGUUGAUAAUACAUUUUAUGCCUAUCGAACUAUGUUUCUUAAACUUAAUUAGAGUCAACGUCAAACAACUCUACAAACACAUAUAUACUUUUGUAAUCCUAAAAUUUCUCGAACUUUUUUAUAUGAUUUCAAUCGGUUUAGAAUUUGGUUGUUUUAAUUCGAUAAACUCUUAUUAUCGUAUACUUUUUUUGCUUUUACACAAUUAUUUUAUAUAUUUACAUAUCUUAUUUUAUUAGUGAUUAAUCAAUGUAUUUAAAAUAUUGACGUUAUUAGAAUAAAGAUAUUAACUUACAACUGCAUGAAAAAAUAUUGUAAAAAUAGUUUUAUUUUACACCUAUUAAAAACUAAAAAGUAUGAAACUUAAAAAAUUCAUCAUAAUUACUUUCAUUUAAUAUAAACCUAGUUAUAAUUAUGGAAAAUUGUCAAAAUUAAAAGAAAGAAAAUAAAUUUAACGAAACAUUUACAACAUACAGUAAAAUUUUAUAUUAUCUGAAAUAAUAAAUAUUGAUAGACACACUGAUAUAUGCUUCUAUCAAUAACAUAGAUGAAAAUAAUUUCUUUUUAGUUUCUGUCGUUGAUAGAACACAAAAUUUUUCUAUAAUUUAUAAAUAUUUAGUUUACUUUCCUAUAUUUAAAAAUGUCCCUCCAAUUAUAAAAAAAAUAGUUACUUUAUAUUGUUUUUUUGAAAACUAAACACUAAAAAUAGAUUUUCCACCAACGAAACAAAAAAGAAAAAUAAAUAAUUAUAAAAUAGUUCUAAACUUUUAUAGAAACAACAAUUUAACCAAUGAAGUUUAAUUUGUAUUAAUUUAGAUUUGAACUCUGUAGAUUUACUCUCUAUUUUAAAUUUCUUAAGGAUUUAAUAUAUGUGGAGCAAACAAUGUUAUUAAAAUUUAAUGAAUAAUGAAUAAGUUGUAUUGCAUUAAUAAAACUAAAAUGAGUUUAAAGUAAUUAAUUGUGUCCAAAAGUUUGUUAAAAGAAAAAUGGCGUCUCCUACUAAUUGGCUCAUUUUCUUCACAUUUUAAGAAUUAUUAUAUUCUCUAAAUCUAUCCUCUUUUGUUUUUUCUUUUGUUAGAAUAUAUGUUCUUUUUAAAGAUAAAAAAGAGAAUACAAGAAUGUUAAUGUAAACAUAAUUUUGUGGUUUAAAAUUUUACCCUAAAAAAUAUCAAUAACAAUAUCGAUAAAAUAUGAGAAUAAAUGAAUAUUUAAAAAAAAACUUAUAAAAAGUAACAUUUUUCAUUUUUAAAUAAGUUCAAAAUAUUUAUAUAUAUUAAAUUCACAUUAGUAAUCUUUGGUUACUUAGACGACAAGUUUUAAGGACUUUUUUAGUUUAACAACGAGUGAGAAUGUUAGAAUAUAUAUAUUUUUUAAAGAUAAAAAGAUCUAUUAGAUUCGAGAUUUAAAAUGUUGACGUAAACAUAAAUUUGAGGUUUAAAUUUUAUUUUAAAAAAUAUCGAUAAACUAUGAAAAUAAAUGGACAUUUGAAGGAACUUAUUAUAUUUAUUUAUAUUAUAUUUACGUUUGCAACAUUUGGUUGCUUAUUCGAUAUGUUUCCGAGAUUUUUUUUAGUUUAAAAAUGAAUGAGAGUGUAGAAGGGACUCAAACAUUUGACCUAUUGACUGAAGUUAUAUAUUUUUAUAAUUAAAUUAUGUUUAAAUUAAUAUAUACAUUUCAUACCCUUACUCAAAUAUAAAAUUUUUAAUUGGAUAAAAAUAUGUUUUUAUAUCUCAAAUUGUCCAAUUUUAAACUACAUAUUUUUAAUAAAGCUUAAAAUUAGUCUUUAUGGUAAAAAUUAACUUUUCUUUUAAAUGCCAUAAAUAGAAUCCAAUAAUAAAAAAAAUGAGUGAACGGUAAAAUUAAUAUGAAAACAAAAUAUAAAGAGUAAAAUGAUAUUUUCUUUUAUAAAAUACGAGUUUGGUCCCUACCCUUUAAAGUUUGUUGAAAACUAUAUUCUUGCAAUUGAUUUAUUGUUAUUUUUUAUCUGAUAAUAAUUUUACAAAAGAAAAUUAAUAACGUGUUUAUAUAUUAUAUUUUCAUAACUCAAUUUAAAAGAUUAAAAAUACGAAACGUAAGGACGAAAAUGAUAUUUUAACGAGAUAUUUUUGUGGGAAGUUUUUUUGAAGGGCAAAUGGGGAAUUUGGUGGAUGCAUAGAGCAAAGGGAAUUGAAAAAAAGAUUUGGGGUAAGAGAUAAAAGUGGCUAAAUGUGUUGAGGCAUCCAAGAAUUGCUCAUUUUGUGGAAUACCAAACCAUUAAAUUGACUCACAUUCUUUACCAAACAAAAGUUCAUAUACAUACCAAUCACAUGACAAUUCUUAAAUAUUACAUCAAAUCCAAACUUUAAUCAUUUGUAGAGGAGGUUUAUUCAACUUGGUUUACCGACAUCUCGAAUAAUAUCAAUAAAUUUAUUCACGAAUUUGUAAUGGUUAUUAAAUAUCGUCAAAUUUAAACCUACCAUUUUCUUUUUAGAAUGAUAACGUUCGACCUUGUUUUUGUUUGUGAUUUGAGAUUAAUUUAUAUUAAUUGUCAUGUUAGGAAAUUAACAAGCAAAGAUAAAAAAAAACAUAAAACAAUAUGAAAUCAACGUAGAGGUUUAUGUGAUUCAUUAACCGUGUGUUAAAGUUGUUUAUUAAUUAUUAAAGAGAAAAUAUAAGAUUACUUCGGUUAUAAGAGUAUUUAUAUAUAACGCACUAUUUUAAAUUCUAUCACCAAAAUCGUGAAUAACAUAAAUAACAUAAAUAUGAAUACAACAAAAUUCAGAAAUUUAAUCAUUUAAAAUGUCAAAUAACAGAUUCAAAAUAUACUAAGAUAGUAAGAUGCGAAGUUAUGUUUUCAGAGAGAGAGAGUUGAGAAUGCCACACACUUUGGUAGCAAUGGAAAGGAAAUUAAUGAGUGAGUUAUGUAUUGAUUGCAACAUUUUGUGGUAGCUAGUUAUGGUUGAAGAUAAGAGGUACUCAAAGAAGCAUGUGAAGACGUGAGGCUAAUUAGCCAUGAGGUGUGUUGAGUAAUUGCCCUUUGUGAAAGUCUAACGAGGUUGAUGAACCACUAACUCAAGUUGAGUGUUGAGAACAUUUUUAAUUUGUAUCCUCUCUUGUGCUAUAGCUAUUGUUUUAGGUGCAUUCACAUAAAACAAGAAAACUAAUCUAAUUUAAUUUUUUUCUAUGUGAAAGAAUCUUUUGUGUAUGUAUUAAAGAAUCUCUCACGGUAUUGCAGUUUUGACAUCUUCUUAGGAUUGUUUUUUGCUUUGAAAAAGAUAGCUUCUCUCGUUAUAUAUUCUCCAUCUUUUUCUUAAUGAGAAGGUGAGAUAGCUGCAAGUUGCGGUUCUUUCGAUUUCACUUGUCUAAAACAGAAGAUUCUCACAAUUCAUAAAUUGCUAUCUACAUACACGGUUGCUUACAAAUUUAUAAGAAGGCCACUUGUUUUAGUAAUAAAAAUAUGUUGGAAUUUUUGUGAUUAUAUAAAAAUUGUAUGAUCUUCAGGUAUUUAAAUAAUCUGGACUUGGGAGAGAUUUACCAUUUUGUUGUCACGUAAACGUCAAACUCUUUACCUUGUCUUAAUUCCAACGUUAGGUUGCGCACGUACUUAAUUAAACCGAAAUUCUCUAAUCACUAUUGUAAAGAGUCAUUUUGUAUUAUAUCAAUCCCACAAAACAAACACACUUCCUUCCCUUAAACAAGCUCAAAAAAUUAGGUAACCAAAUAUUUAAAAACUUAUCCCUAUCUAGCUACAAUGGACAAAUCUAAAAAAAACAAAUUAACAAUAAUAGAAAAUUUGAUUCCUAUUUGGCUUACAAAACCAAUUAUCAUAAAAGCAAACACUCAUUUUACAUCAUAUCUCACAUAUACAAUGUAUAUACAACACACACAUAUUAUAUAUAUGAAUUGGCUUUACAUACAAUUCCACAAACCUUUAUACAUCACAAAGCUUACACUUGGUUUCUUCCAAGAGGGUUCUUUUUUUU